AACGAACGCUGGCGGCAUGCCUAACACAUGCAAGUCGAACGAGACCUUCGGGUCUAGUGGCGCACGUGUGCGUAACGCGUGGGAACCUGCCCUUAGGUUCGGAAUAACUCCCCGAAAGGGGUGCUAAUACCGGAUAAUGUCUUCGGACCAAAGAUUUAUCGCCUUUGGAUGGGCCCGCGUUGGAUUAGCUGGUUGGUAGGGUAAAAGCCUACCAAGGCGACGAUCCAUAGCUGGUCGGAGAGGAUGAUCAGCCACACUGGGACUGAGACACGGCCCAGACUCCGACGGGAGGGAGCAGUGGGGAAUAUUGGACAAUGGGCGAAAGCCUGAUCCAGCAAUGCCGGGUGAGUGAUGAAGGCCUUAGGGUUGUAAAGCUCUUUUACCCGGGAUGAUAAUGACAGAACCGGGAGAAUAAGCUCCGGCUAACUCCGUG
rnacentral:rRNA from 1 species